UACGAAGGGGGCUAGCGUUGUUCGGAUUUACUGGGCGUAAAGCGCACGUAGGCGGAUCGUUAAGUCGGGGGGUGAAAUCCUGGAGCUCAACUCCAGAACUGCCUUCGAUACUGGCGAUCUAGAGUCCGGAAGAGGUGAGUGGAACUCCUAGUGUAGAGGUGGAAUUCGUAGAUAUUAGGAAGAACACCAGUGGCGAAGGCGGCUCACUGGUCCGGUACUGACGCUGAGGUGCGAAAGCGUGGGGAGCAAACAGG
rnacentral:rRNA from 1 species